rnacentral:rRNA from 1 species
UACGAAGGGGGCGAGCGUUGUUCGGAAUUACUGGGCGUAAAGGGCGCGCAGGCGGCUCAGACAGUCAGAUGUGAAAACCCCGGGCUUAACCUGGGAACUGCAUUUGAUACUACUGAGCUUGAGUACGGGAGAGGAUAGUGGAAUUCCCAGUGUAGAGGUGAAAUUCGUAGAUAUUGGGAAGAACACCGGUGGCGAAGGCGGGUCUCUGGGCCGAUACUGACGCUGAGGAGCGAAAGCGUGGGGAGCGAACAGG